rnacentral:rRNA from 1 species
CGUGCAGGCGGCCACCGCAAGUUGAAUGUGAAAUCCCCGGGCUUAACCCGGGAAGUGCGUUCAAGACUGCGGGGCUUGAAUACGGGAGAGGAUCGUGGAAUUCCUGGUGUAGAGGUGAAAUUCGUAGAUAUUGGGUAGAACACCGGUGGCGAAGGCGAGUAUCUGGCUAUCAACUGACGCUGAGGCACGAAAGCAUGGGGAAUCAAACA